CAGGUGCAGUUGCCAGAGGAGCUCGGAGGAUUUUGUCGGCGAUACCCCUUUUGGGCAUCGCCCCUCCCGAGUUCUACGACGACCCAAAGAACGUCGAUGACGAUUAUAUCGUCGAGGUUCACUACCUACACAUAAUGAGAAACGUAUAAAACGGAUCAGUUGAACUCAUCGGGUGGGCAGGUUACUUCCGCUCAGACGACACAUCCGGCCUCGCUGGAGCCGCCCGGUGCAAUUGAGUUGCGGAACUCGACCUCUGCGGGCUCCGGACUUGAGAAAAAUGCUGAAAAAUAUAUUGAAGAAAAACGAAUUUCGAGUUCUUUUGUUGGAGCUACGAAAGCUUUGAAUUUCUUUGAAAAUUUUUCUGUACACGCGCGUUUCUUUUUGUUCUCAUGGACCAGAAUAAAUUUGUUCUCCCAAUUCGUUUGCAUCGAAUUAUACGAACGACGUUUACAAUGUUUCUUA